CCUACGGGUGGCAGCAGUGGGGAAUAUUGCGCAAUGGGCGAAAGCCUGACGCAGCGACGCCGCGUGAGGGAUGAAGGUCUUCGGAUCGUAAACCUCUGUCAGCAGGGAAGAACGGUCACUGUGCUAAUCAGCAGUGCAUUGACGGUACCUGCACAGGAAGCACCGGCUAACUCCGUGCCAGCAGCCGCGGUAAUACGGAGGGUGCGAGCGUUAAUCGGAAUUACUGGGCGUAAAGGGCUCGUAGGCGGUAUGUCAAGUCAAGGGUGAAAUCCCCGCGCUCAACGUGGGGACUGCCUUUGAAACUGGCAAACUGGAGUGUGUGAGAGGAUGGCGGAAUUCCAGGUGUAGGAGUGAAAUCCGUAGAUAUCUGGAGGAACAUCAGUGGCGAAGGCGACUAUCUGGCACAUAACUGACGCUGAGGAGCGAAAGCGUAGGUAGCAAACAGGAUUAGAUACCCCAGUAGUC
rnacentral:rRNA from 1 species